rnacentral:lncRNA from 1 species
AAGAAUUCCCAGGAUCAUCAAUAAAAAGAGAGAUAUCCCUGGGCAUCAGCUCUUCUGUCUUCUGGGAUCAAGCUUCCUGUAGAGCAAAAUUAUACUAUAUAGUAGAAUCUAUAUGAAAAAAAUUUGAGGAAGGAGAGAGGGAAAAGAGCCUGAAAAUGCUGAAUUGAAAUGACAUCCCUAAGACUGGUGAGAUUGAUGAAUUCACUCUUGGUGAAAGUUGGCCAGUGUACCACUACAAUCAGUAAGCAUCUCACACUUUGA